GUCCACGCCGUAACGAUGAAUGUUAGCCGUCGGGCAGUAUACUGUUCGGUGGCGCAGCUAACGCAUUAAACAUUCCGCCUGGGGAGUACGGUCGCAAGAUUAAACUCAAAGGAAUUGACGGGACCCGCACAAGCGGUGGAUGAUGUGGUUUAAUUCGAUGCAACGCGAAACCUUACCUACCCUUGACAUGUCAGAGAUCCUGUAGAGAUAUGGGAGUGCUCGCAAGAGAAUCUGAACAUAGGUGCUGCAUGGCCGUCGU
rnacentral:rRNA from 1 species